rnacentral:lncRNA from 1 species
AAUGUCCAAUUCAAAAAGUAUUUGUUAGAUUUCUGACAAUUCUAGUACGGUUCUAACACAAUUUUAAAAAAGAAAAAUACAUUAAUUUUCUAAAAUUCAAACUUUAUUGUAUAAAUUGUUAUUAUGAUUAUGAUAAUAAGAAACAAAUAUUUGUGAACCAGUCAUAAAAAACAUCUUUCUGCUCUAAAAAAUAAUUUGGAACAUACUUGUGCACAUAAAUCUGUAUUGUCAAUUUAUAUAAUUCAUAAUUAUAUAAUAUAUAAAUCAGUGUCUCAGUGUUCUACAUUUUAGAGAUUUUACAUAUCUUCAUGUUUGGGUCCGUAUCGUAUCAGUGUUCAUGUCAGUGUCUGUGCUACAUAGUUUCAGCGGCAAACAACCUUAAACAAUGGUAAUGUCUCUAUCUCCUUUUCUGCGUUUCUCUUAUCUCAUUUCAAUUGUUGUUUUCUUCAUCGUAACUCACCGUAUCAUCUUCUUGAAUGAAACAGAGGAAGAAGAAACAUGGGUUCAAGAGAUCUUUUGUGAUGAAAAAGCUGAAGCAACCCACCGGGGAAGAAAAUCCCCAAAAGGUUCGUCUUUUCACGAGGGAAGAUACCGGCCUUCCUCAAACAGCUUCAGAGGACCUCAGAAAGUUGAUGCGCCCAUUACUCUUAUGCUUUAUGUGGAUUUGAGGUGGAAAAUUGAGGUGUAGAAGAGUGGAAAUUUGAAGGUUUAAAGGUUUAAAAGACUCGUGUAAGGAUUUGAGGAAAAAAUAUGAAAAAGUUAAGUGGAUUUGGAUUUAGA